CUUAGAGUUUGAUCCUGGCUCAGGAUGCCUUCUGGCGGUAUGCUUAACACAUGCAAGUCGAACGGUGUCUUCGGACAUAGUGGCGGACGGGUGAGUAACGCGUGAGAAUCUAGCUUCAGGUCUGGGACAACCACUGGAAACGGUGGCUAAUACCGGAUGUGCCGGAAGGUGAAAGGCUUGCUGCCUGAAGAUGAGCUCGCGUCCGAUUAGCUAGUAGGUGGGGUAAGAGCCUACCUAGGCGACGAUCGGUAGCUGGUCUGAGAGGAUGACCAGCCACACUGGGACUGAGACACGGCCCAGACUCCUACGGGAGGCAGCAGUGGGGAAUUUUCCGCAAUGGGCGAAAGCCUGACGGAGCAAUACCGCGUGAGGGAGGAAGGCUCUUGGGUUGUAAACCUCUUUUCUCAGGGAAGAACACAAUGACGGUACCUGAGGAAUCAGCAUCGGCUAACUCCGUGCCAGCAGCCGCGGUAAUACGGAGGAUGCAAGCGUUAUCCGGAAUGAUUGGGCGUAAAGCGUCCGCAGGUGGCUGUGUAAGUCUGCUGUCAAAGAGCAAAGCUCAACUUUGUAAAGGCAGUGGAAACUACACGGCUAGAGUGCGUUCGGGGCAGAGGGAAUUCCUGGUGUAGCGGUGAAAUGCGUAGAGAUCAGGAAGAACACCGGUGGCGAAGGCGCUCUGCUAGGCCGCAACUGACACUGAGGGACGAAAGCUAGGGGAGCGAAUGGGAUUAGAUACCCCAGUAGUCCUAGCUGUAAACGA
rnacentral:rRNA from 1 species